CUAGCUACCAUGCUCCCUCAAGGUUCCCAUGAUUCCCAGCAUCUACUCAUCAUAGAGUAGGGAUUACUUUAUGAUUUGUAGAUGCUGGGAAUUCUGGGAACCGCGAGGGAGCAUGGUAGCUA
rnacentral:miRNA from 1 species